rnacentral:rRNA from 1 species
UACGUAGGGGGCGAGCGUUGUCCGGAAUCACUGGGCGUAAAGGGUGCGUAGGCGGCCAAUUAAGUCAGAUGUGAAAUACCAGGGCUCAACCCUGGGGGUGCAUUUGGAACUGGAUGGCUUGAGUGCAGGAGAGGAAAGUGGAAUUCCUAGUGUAGCGGUGAAAUGCGUAGAGAUUAGGAGGAACACCAGUGGCGAAGGCGACUUUCUGGACUGUAACUGACGCUGAGGCACGAAAGCGUGGGUAGCGAACAGG